rnacentral:rRNA from 1 species
CCUACGGGGGGCAGCAGUGAGGAAUAUUGGUCAAUGGACGAGAGUCUGAACCAGCCAAGUAGCGUGAAGGAUGACUGCCCUCUGGGUUGUAAACUUCUUUUAUAAAGGAAUAAAACGAGGCACGUGUGCCUUUUUGCAUGUACUUUAUGAAUAAGGAUCGGCUAACUCCGUGCCAGCAGCCGCGGUAAUACGGAGGUUCCGAGCGUUAUCCGGAUGUAUUGGGUUUAAAGGGAGCGUAGAUGGGUUGUUAAGUCAGUUGUGAAAGUUUGGGGCUCAACCGUAAAAUUGCAAUUGAUACUGGCAGUCUUGAGUACAGUGGAGGUAAGCGGAAUUCGUGGUGUAGCGGUGAAAUGCUUAGAUAUCACGAAGAACCCCGAUUGCGAAGGCAGCUUACUAAACUGUGACUGACAUUGAUGCUCGAAAGUGUGGGUAUCAAACAGGAUUAGAUACCCUGGUAGUC